GACGAACGCUGGCGGCGUGCUUAACACAUGCAAGUCGAACGGAAAGGCCCUGCUUUUGUGGGGUGCUCGAGUGGCGAACGGGUGAGUAACACGUGAGUAACCUGCCCUUGACUUUGGGAUAACUUCAGGAAACUGGGGCUAAUACCGGAUAGGAGCUCCUGCUGCAUGGGGGGGGUUGGAAAGUUUCGGCGGUUGGGGAUGGUCUCGCGGCUUAUCAGCUUGUUGGUGGGGUAGUGGCUUACCAAGGCUUUGACGGGUAGCCGGCCUGAGAGGGUGACCGGCCACAUUGGGACUGCGAUACGGCCCAGACUCCUACGGGAGGCAGCAGUGGGGAAUAUUGCACAAUGGGCGGACGCCUGAUGCAGCAACGCCGCGUGCGGGAUGCCGGCCUUCGGGUUGUAAACCGCUUUCGCCUGUGACGAAGCGUGAGUGACGGUAAUGGGUAAAGAAGCACCGGCUAACUACGUG
rnacentral:rRNA from 1 species